rnacentral:rRNA from 1 species
CCCCUAUCCCAUCCCUCCCCUCGUCUCCCACAUCACCGCCACCACCACCCCUAUCCCAUCCCUCCCCUCGUCUCCCUACCAGACCUUGCCGCCGCCGGCCUCCCCUCCUCUCCGCUUCCCUCCCACCUCAGGCGGAGCCCCCACCUAUCCAUCUCUCUCUAGCGACCCCUCUCUCUCCCCCAGGACUCAUCUUCGCCACUAGGGUUUGCGGUGGCUUUGCCCCAUGCUCGCCAUGGCUCUCCAGCAACCAGGACAACGAUGAUGUCGACGGGAUCCUACGGGCGCGUCCUCCUGCAGCCACUGGCGAACCUACCAUCCUCUAGGGUUUGAGCCACCGCGUCGCCGACGUGGCUCCGACGUUGUUCCGAUCCGUCAUCGCUCGAGGAACGAAAGGCCAUGGACGGGAUGGCCACUUCCUCCCCUGCUCCGACGCCAUGGAGGCCACCUUCUCGCUGCAGCGUCUCUUGCUGUCGAGUCUCUCUGUGGUGGUCUGGUGGCUGUGAUCUCUACCCGCCCCAAUGGAUUGGCCAGCGUUGGCGACUUGGCGUACACAAUGGAGGUGCUGCUGUUCUGCUACGCCAACCUCAUCCUACAGCCCUCCGUCGCCCCACUAGCAAGCUGCAAGGGGCACAAUGCUAGUAGGCAAGCUAGCACACAUGGAUUCGUGAACUGGCUUGGAUGUGUUCUUGGUCGUCUGGGUUGGAUGAGGACGAUGGAAACGAUGUCUUCCUCACCGGCGAUGGCAGGAGCGCAUGAUAGACUUCUAAAUGGACAAGUAUCUGCAACGUUCAGUGUCAAUGAUGAUGCUUACCAGAUAUUCUACUGUAGCCCCAUCCAUAUCAUCGACGUGAAGUCAGAUCUACUCGUCCUGAAAUUGAUGGCCUGAAGCUUGAUACACAUAUCAUGUGACACACAUUAGGAAAUUUGAAUAACAUCGACAUAGGUUCUCUGUUAUCUUGCACUGGGUUGAUACUUACCGGUUUCCCUUACAAAUAUAUUACAUAUUUUCUUUUAUGAGAAUUUUAUCUGCAUGGUUUCUUAUUAGAUCUCAAAUUCUGCAGCUAUUUUUCAUUGUUAGGAAAAUGUUAUAUGCACGGCUUCACUUGAUUAUGUUCCUAACUUUUCUGAUUUAUAACCUACAGAUGCCUUCAUUUGUCAAAAGUUGGUGUACAGGAACUCCAGGAGAAGAAUCCCAAAGAAAACAUGCACCCAGCAAUUUGUUCUAGCUCACUGGAGCAUCAUUUUGAAGUACCUAAUUUAUGGCUGAGCACCUGAUUUAUGGUUGAGUACCUGUUUUGUACUAUGCAUUAUUGUAAAGUACUUUGUUUGGCCAUUGUAUGAAAACACUAUGUGUUUUUGGCUCUUUUUGACUCGC